rnacentral:other from 1 species
GUUCACUGCCGUACAGGUAGCUUAGAAG